rnacentral:rRNA from 1 species
UGGGGAAUAUUGCACAAUGGGCGCAAGCCUGAUGCAGCCAUGCCGCGUGUGUGAAGAAGGCCUUCGGGUUGUAAACCUCUUUUAGCAAGGAAGAAGCGAAAGUGACGGUACUUGCAGAAAAAGCGCCGGCUAACUACGUGCCAGCAGCCGCGGUAAUACGUAGGGCGCAAGCGUUAUCCGGAAUUAUUGGGCGUAAAGAGCUCGUAGGCGGUUUGUCGCGUCUGCUGUGAAAACCCGAGGCUCAACCUCGGGCCUGCAGUGGGUACGGGCAGACUAGAGUGCGGUAGGGGAGAUUGGAACUCCUGGUGUAGCGGUGGAAUGCGCAGAUAUCAGGAAGAACACCGAUGGCGAAGGCAGAUCUCUGGGCCGUAACUGACGCUGAGGAGCGAAAGGGUGGGGAGCAAACAGGCUUAGAUACCCUGGUAGUCCACCCCGUAAACGUUGGGAACUAGUUGUGGGGUCCAUUCCACGGAUUCCGUGACGCAGCUAACGCAUUAAGUUCCCCGCCUGGGGAGUACGGCCGCAAGGCUAAAACU